GACGUAGGGCGCGAGCGUUGUCCGGAUUUAUUGGGCGUAAAGAGCUCGUAGGCGGCUUGUCGCGUCUACUGUGAAAACCCACGGCUUAACUGUGGGCUUGCAGUCGAUACGGGCAGGCUAGAGUUCGGUAGGGGAGACUGGAAUUCCUGGUGUAGCGGUGAAAUGCGCAGAUAUCAGGAGGAACACCGGUGGCGAAGGCGGGUCUCUGGGCCGAUACUGACGCUGAGGAGCGAAAGCGUGGGGAGCAAACAGG
rnacentral:rRNA from 1 species